AAUUAAACCUCGCUUCUCCUGCUUGUCCAAGGCUAUGUUUUCAUAUACACUAUAAAGUUACAGAAUGUCUAUUAACGACUUGUGCUUGUCACGGUCAUUAAACCUAUACAACUUUCAGCAACGGAUCUCUUGGCUCUCCUAUCGAUGAAGAACGCAGCGAAAUGCGAUAAGUAAUGUGAAUUGCAGAAUUCAGUGAAUCAUCGAAUCUUUGAACGCACCUUGCGCCCUUUGGUAUUCCGAAGGGCAUGCCUGUUUGAGUGUCAUUAAAUUAUCAACCUUGCUCGCUUUUACCGGCUUGAGUUAGGCUUGGAUGUGAGGGUCUUUGCUGGCUUCCUUCAGUGGAUGGUCUGCUCCCUUUAAAUGCAUUAGUGGGAUCUCUUGUGGACCGUCUCUUGGUGUGAUAAUUAUCUAUGCCAUCUUGACUUGAUAAAAACUCAUGGAACCUGCUCAUAACCGUCCUUCAAGGACAACUCUUGACAUUUGACCUCAAAUCAGGACAUGCAU
rnacentral:sRNA from 1 species